rnacentral:rRNA from 1 species
AUUGAACGCUGGCGGCAUGCUUUACACAUGCAAGUCGAACGGUAACAGGCCUUCUGGUGCUGGCUUCUGGCGCAGGCGUGUGUAUUACGCCUAAACGUCUCCCUAGGUGUGGGGUAGCGCAUCGAAAGCUGUGCUCUUACCCCAUGUGCUCUCUGGGUGAAAGCGUGGGAGCUAUUCGCACUUUUUGCUCUCGCGCCUUUCUAGCUCCGGAUGUCGGAUUAGCUAGUUGGUGGGGUAAAGGCCUACCAAGGCGACGAUCCGUAGCUGGUCUGAGAGGACGAUCAGCCACACUGGGACUGAGACACGGCCCAGACUCCUACGGGAGGCAGCAGUGGGGAAUAUUGGACAAUGGGCGAAAGCCUGAUCCAGCAAUGCCGCGUGCGGGAAGAAGGUCUUCGGGUUGUAAAGCGCUUUUGGCAGGAACGAAACGGAGUAAGCUAAUACCGGGCGGUAAUGACGGUACCAGCAGAAUAAGCACCGGCUAACUACGUG